UCAUUCAUGGCUGAGUCGGAAGAACAUGAGACUCUUAAUCUCAGGGUUGCAGGUUCAAGCCCCAUGUUGGACAAA